CCUCUCAUUCAUAAUGGUUUAAAAGGUCUGCCCCUCCCCCUCUCAUUCAUAAUGGUUUAAAAGGUCUGCCCCUCCCCCCUCUCAUUCAUAAUGGUUUAAAAGGUCUGCCCCUCCCCCCUCUCAUUCAUAAUGGUUUAAAAGGUCUGCCCCUCCCCCCUCUCAUUCAUAAUGGUUUAAAAGGUCUGCCCCUCCCCCCUCUAAUUCAUGAUUUAAAAAGCUAAACUGAUCUCAGAUCAGCACUCCUAUUCUGACACUCUGGAUGAGGGCCCUGUGCUCUUUCAGCUCCUGUGUGUCCAGUUUGUCAUUAGGACAAUAUUUAAUGGUGAUAUACUACCAUGGUAGUAUAAUGACGACUUCACUAUGCAAAGCAAUGAGUUAGCUGUUAUUACUUUUGUUACUGCUGGUCACUCAUCCUCAACCAACACUCAUAAAAUGUAUUGCUCUGUCCAUCACAGAAGAAUAAGCUUCUCAACAUAUCAAUGUAUGGCUGCUAAACGCAACUGCUCACAUAAUUGAUUGUGAAACUGGAAACAACCUGUAGAACUGACUUUGGCUGCCAUAAUGUGAAAACAUCCUGUACUAGUCUGUGCUGUUUGAAAUAGAACCGCUUUAAAACAACUGUGCAGAGUAAAUGGCUAUAAUACGUUAGGUCUACCUGAACACAUUUGAAACGUUCUGCAAAAAUCUAAUGAAAUAAAUGAAUUGAAAUCUGUUGUUGCUUUUCACUGUUUUUUGUUUUUUUCAUGAUA